GCCCUUCGGGGUACUCGAGCGGCGAACGGGUGAGUAACACGUGAGCAACCUGCCCCAGGCUUUGGGAUAACCCCGGGAAACCGGGGCUAAUACCGAAUAUGACCUCUGACCGCAUGGUUGGUGGUGGAAAGUUUUUCGGCUUGGGAUGGGCUCGCGGCCUAUCAGCUUGUUGGUGGGGUGAUGGCCUACCAAGGCGACGACGGGUAGCCGGCCUGAGAGGGCGACCGGCCACACUGGGACUGAGACACGGCCCAGACUCCUACGGGAGGCAGCAGUGGGGAAUAUUGCACAAUGGGCGGAAGCCUGAUGCAGCGACGCCGCGUGAGGGAUGACGGCCUUCGGGUUGUAAACCUCUUUCAGCAGGGACGAAGCGUAAGUGACGGUACCUGCAGAAGAAGCGCCGGCCAACUACGUGCCAGCAGCCGCGGUAAGACGUAGGGCGCGAGCGUUGUCCGGAUUUAUUGGGCGUAAAGAGCUCGUAGGCGGCUUGUCGCGUCGACCGUGAAAACUUGGGGCUCAACCCCAAGCCUGCGGUCGAUACGGGCAGGCUAGAGUUCGGUAGGGGAGACUGGAAUUCCUGGUGUAGCGGUGAAAUGCGCAGAUAUCAGGAGGAACACCGGUGGCGAAGGCGGGUCUCUGGGCCGAUACUGACGCUGAGGAGCGAAAGCGUGGGGAGCGAACAGGAUUAGAUACCCUG
rnacentral:rRNA from 1 species